rnacentral:rRNA from 1 species
GAUGAACGCUGGCGGCGUGCCUAAUACAUGCAAGUCGAACGAAACUUCUUUAUCACCGAGUGCUUGCACUCACCGAUAAAGAGUUGAGUGGCGAACGGGUGAGUAACACGUGGGCAACCUGCCCAAAAGAGGGGGAUAACACUUGGAAACAGGUGCUAAUACCGCAUAACCAUAGUUACGCAUUGGUAACUUGGUAAAAGGUGGCUAUACUACCGCUUUGGGAUGGGCCCGCGGCGCAUUAGCUAGUUGGUAGGGUAAAGGCUUACCAAGGCAAUGAUGCGUAGCCGAAUUGAGAGGUUGAUCGGCCACAUUGGGACUGAGACACGGCCCAAACUCCUACGGGAGGCAGCAGUAGGGAAUCUUCCACAAUGGGCGAAAGCCUGAUGGAGCAACGCCGCGUGGGUGAAGAAGGUCUUCGGAUCGUAAAACCCUGUUGUUAGAGAAGAAAGUGCGUGAGAGUAACUGUUCACGUUUCGACGGUAUCUAACCAGAAAGCCACGGCUAACUACGUG